rnacentral:rRNA from 1 species
GGGUUGUGAGGUUAAGCGACUAAGCGUACACGGUGGAUGCCCUGGCAGUCAGAGGCGAUGAAGGACGUGCUAAUCUGCGAUAAGCGUCGGUAAGGUGAUAUGAACCGUUAUAACCGGCGAUUUCCGAAUGGGGAAACCCAGUGUGAUUCGUCACACUAUCAUUAACUGAAUCCAUAGGUUAAUGAGGCGAACCGGGGGAACUGAAACAUCUAAGUACCCCGAGGAAAAGAAAUCAACCGAGAUUCCCCCAGUAGCGGCGAGCGAACGGGGAGGAGCCCAGAGCCUGAAUCAGUGUGUGUGUUAGUGGAAGCGUCUGGAAAGGCGCGCGAUACAGGGUGACAGCCCCGUACACAAAAAUGCACAUGCUGUGAGCUCGAUGAGUAGGGCGGGACACGUGGUAUCCUGUCUGAAUAUGGGGGGACCAUCCUCCAAGGCUAAAUACUCCUGACUGACCGAUAGUGAACCAGUACCGUGAGGGAAAGGCGAAAAGAACCCCGGCGAGGGGAGUGAAAAAGAACCUGAAACCGUGUACGUACAAGCAGUAGGAGCACAGAGCAAUCUGUGUGACUGCGUACCUUUUGUAUAAUGGGUCAGCGACUUAUAUUCUGUAGCAAGGUUAACCGAAUAGGGGAGCCGAAGGGAAACCGAGUCUUAACCGGGCGUUAAGUUGCAGGGUAUAGACCCGAAACCCGGUGAUCUAGCCAUGGGCAGGUUGAAGGUUGGGUAACACUAACUGGAGGACCGAACCGACUAAUGUUGAAAAAUUAGCGGAUGACUUGUGGCUGGGGGUGAAAGGCCAAUCAAACCGGGAGAUAGCUGGUUCUCCCCGAAAGCUAUUUAGGUAGCGCCUCGUGAAUUCAUCUCCGGGGGUAGAGCACUGUUUCGGCAAGGGGGUCAUCCCGACUUACCAACCCGAUGCAAACUGCGAAUACCGGAGAAUGUUAUCACGGGAGACACACGGCGGGUGCUAACGUCCGUCGUGAAGAGGGAAACAACCCAGACCGCCAGCUAAGGUCCCAAAGUCAUGGUUAAGUGGGAAACGAUGUGGGAAGGCCCAGACAGCCAGGAUGUUGGCUUAGAAGCAGCCAUCAUUUAAAGAAAGCGUAAUAGCUCACUGGUCGAGUCGGCCUGCGCGGAAGAUGUAACGGGGCUAAACCAUGCACCGAAGCUGCGGCAGCGACACUGUGUGUUGUUGGGUAGGGGAGCGUUCUGUAAGCCUGUGAAGGUGUGCUGUGAGGCAUGCUGGAGGUAUCAGAAGUGCGAAUGCUGACAUAAGUAACGAUAAAGCGGGUGAAAAGCCCGCUCGCCGGAAGACCAAGGGUUCCUGUCCAACGUUAAUCGGGGCAGGGUGAGUCGACCCCUAAGGCGAGGCCGAAAGGCGUAGUCGAUGGGAAACAGGUUAAUAUUCCUGUACUUGGUGUUACUGCGAAGGGGGGACGGAGAAGGCUAUGUUGGCCGGGCGACGGUUGUCCCGGUUUAAGCGUGUAGGCUGGUUUUCCAGGCAAAUCCGGAAAAUCAAGGCUGAGGCGUGAUGACGAGGCACUACGGUGCUGAAGCAACAAAUGCCCUGCUUCCAGGAAAAGCCUCUAAGCAUCAGGUAACAUCAAAUCGUACCCCAAACCGACACAGGUGGUCAGGUAGAGAAUACCAAGGCGCUUGAGAGAACUCGGGUGAAGGAACUAGGCAAAAUGGUGCCGUAACUUCGGGAGAAGGCACGCUGAUAUGUAGGUGAAGUCCCUCGCGGAUGGAGCUGAAAUCAGUCGAAGAUACCAGCUGGCUGCAACUGUUUAUUAAAAACACAGCACUGUGCAAACACGAAAGUGGACGUAUACGGUGUGACGCCUGCCCGGUGCCGGAAGGUUAAUUGAUGGGGUCAGCGCAAGCGAAGCUCUUGAUCGAAGCCCCGGUAAACGGCGGCCGUAACUAUAACGGUCCUAAGGUAGCGAAAUUCCUUGUCGGGUAAGUUCCGACCUGCACGAAUGGCGUAAUGAUGGCCAGGCUGUCUCCACCCGAGACUCAGUGAAAUUGAACUCGCUGUGAAGAUGCAGUGUACCCGCGGCAAGACGGAAAGACCCCGUGAACCUUUACUAUAGCUUGACACUGAACAUUGAGCCUUGAUGUGUAGGAUAGGUGGGAGGCUUUGAAGUGUGGACGCCAGUCUGCAUGGAGCCGACCUUGAAAUACCACCCUUUAAUGUUUGAUGUUCUAACGUGGACCCGUGAUCCGGGUUGCGGACAGUGUCUGGUGGGUAGUUUGACUGGGGCGGUCUCCUCCUAAAGAGUAACGGAGGAGCACGAAGGUUGGCUAAUCCUGGUCGGACAUCAGGAGGUUAGUGCAAUGGCAUAAGCCAGCUUGACUGCGAGCGUGACGGCGCGAGCAGGUGCGAAAGCAGGUCAUAGUGAUCCGGUGGUUCUGAAUGGAAGGGCCAUCGCUCAACGGAUAAAAGGUACUCCGGGGAUAACAGGCUGAUACCGCCCAAGAGUUCAUAUCGACGGCGGUGUUUGGCACCUCGAUGUCGGCUCAUCACAUCCUGGGGCUGAAGUAGGUCCCAAGGGUAUGGCUGUUCGCCAUUUAAAGUGGUACGCGAGCUGGGUUUAGAACGUCGUGAGACAGUUCGGUCCCUAUCUGCCGUGGGCGCUGGAGAACUGAGGGGGGCUGCUCCUAGUACGAGAGGACCGGAGUGGACGCAUCACUGGUGUUCGGGUUGUCAUGCCAAUGGCACUGCCCGGUAGCUAAAUGCGGAAGAGAUAAGUGCUGAAAGCAUCUAAGCACGAAACUUGCCCCGAGAUGAGUUCUCCCUGACCCUUUAAGGGUCCUGAAGGAACGUUGAAGACGACGACGUUGAUAGGCCGGGUGUGUAAGCGCAGCGAUGCGUUGAGCUAACCGGUACUAAUGAACCGUGAGGCUUAACCUUACAACGCCGAAGGUGUUU